GCCCGCUCAGAAACUCAAAGGAAUUGACGGGGCCCGCACAAGCGGAGGAGCAUGUGGUUAAUUCGAUGAUACGCGAGGAACCUUACCUGGGCUCGAACGUAAGAUGACUGUAGGUGAAAGCUUACAUCUCUUCGGAGCAUUUUACGAGGUGCUGCAUGGUUGUCGUCAGCUCGUGCCGUGAGGUGUCGGGUUAAGUCCCAUAACGAGCGCAACCCCUACCUUUAGUUGCCAUCAGGUUAAGCUGGGGACUCUAAAGGAACUGCCUACGCAAGUAGUGAGGAAGCGGGGAUGACGUCAAAUCAGCACGGCCCUUACGUCCAGGGCUACACACGUGCUACAAUGGCCGAUACAGAGGGCAGCUACCUGGUGACAGGAUGCAAAUCUCCAAAGUCGGUCUCAGUUCGGAUCGGAGUCUGCAACCCGACUCCGUGAAGUUGGAUUCGCUAGUAAUCGCGCAUCAGCCAUGGCGCGGUGAAUACGUUCCCGGGCCUU
rnacentral:rRNA from 1 species